UCUUGGUGGCUCAGAUGGUAAAGAAUUUGCUUGCAAUGCAAAUAGACCCAGGUUCGAUCCCUGGAUUGGGAA
rnacentral:tRNA from 1 species